rnacentral:tRNA from 1 species
GGACCGAUAGCUCAGUGGUAGAGCACUACUCUUCUAAAGUAGCAGUCGAUGGUUCGAAUCCAUCUCGGUCCACCA